AGAGUUUGAUCCUGGCUCAGGAUGAACGCUAGCUACAGGCUUAACACAUGCAAGUCGAGGGGCAGCAUGAACUUAGCUUGCUAAGUUUGAUGGCGACCGGCGCACGGGUGAGUAACACGUAUCCAACCUGCCGAUGACUCGGGGAUAGCCUUUCGAAAGAAAGAUUAAUACCCGAUGGCAUAGUUCUUCCGCAUGGUAGAACUAUUAAAGAAUUUCGGUCAUCGAUGGGGAUGCGUUCCAUUAGGUUGUUGGCGGGGUAACGGCCCACCAAGCCUUCGAUGGAUAGGGGUUCUGAGAGGAAGGUCCCCCACAUUGGAACUGAGACACGGUCCAAACUCCUACGGGAGGCAGCAGUGAGGAAUAUUGGUCAAUGGACGAGAGUCUGAACCAGCCAAGUAGCGUGAAGGAUGACUGCCCUAUGGGUUGUAAACUUCUUUUAUACGGGAAUAAAGUGAGGCACGUGUGCCUUUUUGUAUGUACCGUAUGAAUAAGGAUCGGCUAACUCCGUGCCAGCAGCCGCGGUAAUACGGAGGAUCCGAGCGUUAUCCGGAUUUAUUGGGUUUAAAGGGAGCGUAGGCGGACGCUUAAGUCAGUUGUGAAAGUUUGCGGCUCAACCGUAAAAUUGCAGUUGAUACUGGGUGUCUUGAGUACAGUAGAGGCAGGCGGAAUUCGUGGUGUAGCGGUGAAAUGCUUAGAUAUCACGAAGAACUCCGAUUGCGAAGGCAGCUUGCUGGACUGUAACUGACACUGAAGCACGAAAGCGUGGGGAUCAAACAGGAUUAGAUACCCUGGUAGUCCACGCAGUAAACGAUGAUUACUAGGAGUUUGCGAUACAAUGUAAGCUCUACAGCGAAAGCGUUAAGUAAUCCACCUGGGGAGUACGCCGGCAACGGUGAAACUCAAAGGAAUUGACGGGGGCCCGCACAAGCGGAGGAACAUGUGGUUUAAUUCGAUGAUACGCGAGGAACCUUACCCGGGUUUGAACGUAGUCUGACCGGAGUGGAAACACUCCUUCUAGCAAUAGCAGAUUACGAGGUGCUGCAUGGUUGUCGUCAGCUCGUGCCGUGAGGUGUCGGCUUAAGUGCCAUAACGAGCGCAACCCUUAUCACUAGUUACUAACAGGUGAAGCUGAGGACUCUGGUGAGACUGCCAGCGUAAGCUGUGAGGAAGGUGGGGAUGACGUCAAAUCAGCACGGCCCUUACAUCCGGGGCGACACACGUGUUACAAUGGCAUGGACAAAGGGCAGCUACCUGGCGACAGGAUGCUAAUCUCCAAACCAUGUCUCAGUUCGGAUCGGAGUCUGCAACUCGACUCCGUGAAGCUGGAUUCGCUAGUAAUCGCGCAUCAGCCAUGGCGCGGUGAAUACGUUCCCGGGCCUUGUACUCACCGCCCGUCAAG
rnacentral:rRNA from 1 species